rnacentral:lncRNA from 1 species
GAAUGUAAAUCACCUCCUCUGAAUAUUCUGAAAAUACUUAUUUCUUUAAUUUUAAAGAGAAUCGUCCACUCUCCUUCAUGAUAAUAUCUUUUUACAGGACCCAGACGGAAGAAAGAGGGGAAUACGGAAAAAAAUUACUUUUAAAAGACCAGUCACUGAUAUUCAUUACAUAAUUGCAGAGUUUAUGUAUGCAAGAAUGCAGCAGAUAAAACGAAAUUAAUGGGCAAUUCGUAACUGUCCUUGACACAAGAAAAGAAAACUUGGCGAUGAAAAGAAAUUUAAGGAAAAUCUCCGAAGAAAGUAUGACAAUGUAGGGAUACACUUUGACUUGCUUUGUGUGGAAUGCCUGUGGUAACUUUUAUGAAUAAAAUUCCUGUUUAUAAUUGCUAUUAUUUGUCAGUAAAAGGUUCUCCCGAAUAUAAGAAUUUUCACUUCAUACUCUAAAUUUUUCUCCCCUCCAUUCUUUUACACUUCUUGGUACACUUAAUGUAGCAAUUUUGAAGAGGAAAUCAUUCAUCGAACGUUAGAAUUGAAUUACACACCAAGCAAGUCUUGAUUUUCACAUCUGUGGUAUUUUGUUGAAGGACUUCCUUAAAUUUCUCUCAAUCGGAAAUCGCAGUAUUCAAAUUAUGUGGACCAAGCAGGACGGUGGAUAAUUUGAAUCUACCGGGCCUCUCGGAUCGAGCUGCGUAAGCGCGCUCUACAGGACUUUUGACGAAACACUGCCAAAUUAGUUCUUGGGUGCCUACGCAAGAGCGCGCACCGUCAGCUGGGAACUCCCUAAAAUAGCGCACAGGUUUUAGCACUGGCGGGAUUCUAUGUGGAGUAUCCUUAUACGUUAGUAUAUUUUCAUCCAUGGCACAGGUUUUAGCACUGGCGGGAUUCUAUGUGGAGUAUCCUUAUACGUUAGUAUAUUUUCAUCCAUGCCUUAACCCCAACAAAAUGUUUUUAAAAAUUCAGCGCCAAGAAGGAUGAUCAUCAAUUAAAAUCACAAUGAGUCAACUGAGCCAAGCGAUUUUUGGUAGCCAGACUGUCACGUCUCAAACGUACACCCAAGAACUGGAUGAUAGCACUUUUGCGUUGUUGACGUCUCCCCAAGAUGACUCCGUCUAUGGACUUUUAUUCCCGAGGAAACCGUUUUUGAAAACUAUUGAAUUGAAAACAGGCGAAACCUAUACUUUUGGAAGAAGUCCAAACUGUACAGAACAGUUCCUCGAGAAGGAUUUUUUCCAUCAAGUAGCUACAUGACAUUGAGCUUUACUCAUUUUCAAAUCACUCACCAGCAGAUUUGUUCUGGCUCCGAUGUACAAGCCGUAAUACAAGAUCUUAGCUCAAAUGGAACAUACCUGAAUAGAGCUAAAAAUUGGGAAGAAUAAAUUUAAAGUGUUAGCCCAUAACGAUGUCAUUUCUCUUUUAAAUCCUGAUUUUGAAGGUAAGACAGUGUGCUUUUUUGCAUUUUUCGAUUUCCAUCUCUUGUUUGUUGAAGUUUCUUACUCAGCAUACUCCUUAAAGGUAUUUGUUCAUUCAUUUCUCUUUUUUCACCAAUCCCCAAUUUCUUUGAAUUAUAAUUCUAUUUACUAGGUACUGAAGAGGAGUUAUGCAAUAUUUAUGAGUUUUCAGCUGAGUAAAAUUUUUUGUACAGUCACUCAAGUUAGCUGUUAUGUAGACCCCAGGAGCCUUUUUGUUAACAUUUUGUGGGAAGCUCUGUAGGUGAUCUGCACUGAUGGAUGGGUCUGUUGCCCCACUGAUGGCACUUAUGUCAGCAAUGCCACAGGAUUCACAUGAUCUAUCUGAUCCAAUACUUCAGCUUUAAAAACCAAUCAAAAAAUCCUUUCGAUUUUUCACAAAUCAACAAUUUUGCAGUUUUUUCUUGGCAUGCUGAUGUAUGAAGAUACCAGUUAGGAUGCUUUUAUUUUGGAAUUGGUCACUCAUGGGAACCAAUAGCAGUAUUACUGCACAACACAGCGUUUUAAGGUAUAGCAUGCAAUGUUUACGUUAAAUCUACUGACCAAAAUUUUUCUCUCAAUAAAUGUUGAGGGAACCUUUUUUACAUUCAAAAGGAGCAUUGAUUGCCAUAUCUCUGAAUUCAGUCGGACGUUUUUACGAAAAAUCGAUCCACCCUAAUCAUGUGUCAUUGUGCAUCUGCAGAUUCUCCAAUUUUACUAUCACACUAUCCACGUGUAGAACUGAUAUUCUCAUGGCUUCUUUUUUCCAGUGUACAUCUAUACAGAUGCCAAAAUAACAGAGAAACCAGAAAUUCCGAUAGAAGUAAGGAGAGACUAUGCUGUAAGUCGUAAAUUAGGCAAUGGUGCUCAAGGACAAGUCUUCCUUUGCAUCAAUAAGGUGAGCAAACAUUUCUAUGUUUUCAUUUUUUUAAUUCAGUACCUACAAGUCAGAUUCUAAAUAGAUUCAGUACUUAGUCUUAUCAGAAAAUUUUCAUUUCUAACAUAUUGAAUUAU